UAUGAAAGAUACAUCAAAAUGCUUUGGAUUAAAGCCCUCUUUCUCUCACCACCUUCUCCUCCCCAAGGCUAACAACUUCAUUACAGAGAGAGGUACAGGCACAGUCAAAAUGGCAAAGAGAAGCCCAUGGCACAGACAAGGAACUUCACAGGCAAGCCUCACUCCUGAGGAAAGCAAUGCACAGUUACAGUCUCAUCUUAAGUUACUCCAUUUGGAGAAGGAGGACAAAUGGAGAAGAG
rnacentral:lncRNA from 14 species